rnacentral:tRNA from 1 species
UCCCUGGUGGUCAAGUGGUUAAGAUUCUGUGCUUCCACUGCAAAGACACAGGUUUGAUUCUUGGUCUGGGAA